rnacentral:rRNA from 1 species
CCUACGGGGGGCAGCAGUGGGGAAUAUUGCGCAAUGGGCGAAAGCCUGACGCAGCGACGCCGCGUGAGGGAUGAAGGUCUUCGGAUUGUAAACCUCUGUCAGCAGGGAAGAACGGUCACUGUGCUAAUCAGCAGUGAAUUGACGGCACCUGCAAAGGACGCACAGGCUAACUCCGUGCCAGCAGCCGCGGUAAUACGGAGGGUGCGAGCGGUAAUCGGAAUUACUGGGCGUAAAGCGCGCGUAGGCGGUAUGUCAAGUCAAGGGUGAAAUCCCCGCGCUGAACGUGGGAACUGCCUUUGAAACUGGCAAACUGGAGUGUGUGAGAGGAUAGUGGAAUGCCAGGUGUAGGGGUGAAAUGCGUAGAUAUCAGGAGGAACAUCAGUGGCGAAGGCGACUAACUGGCACAUAACUGACGCUGAGGAGCGAAAGCGUGGGUAGCAAACAGGAUUAGAUACCCGAGUAGUC